rnacentral:rRNA from 1 species
AAAACAUCGCCUCUUGCAAAGUAAUGAAUAAGAGGUCCCGCCUGCCCUGUGACUCUAAGUUUAACGGCCGCGGUAUUUUGACCGUGCGAAGGUAGCGCAAUCACUUGUCUUUUAAAUGGAGACCUGUAUGAAUGGCAUAACGAGGGCUUAGCUGUCUCCUUUCUCUAGUCAAUGAAAUUGAUCUCCCCGUGCAGAAGCGGGGAUAGAACCAUAAGACGAGAAGACCCUAUGGAGCUUUAGACGCCAAGACAGACCAUGUUAAACACCUCCCCAUAAGGAGCCCAAACCAAGUGGUCCCUGCCCUAGUGUCUUUGGUUGGGGCGACCGCGGGGAAACAUAAAACCCCCAUGUGGAAUGGGAGCACCCUCUCCUACAACUAAGAGCUACAGCUCUAAUGAACAGAAUUUCUGACCAACAAGAUCCGGCAAUGCCGAUCAACGGACCGAGUUACCCUAGGGAUAACAGCGCAAUCCCCUUUUAGAGCCCAUAUCGACAAGGGGGUUUACGACCUCGAUGUUGGAUCAGGACAUCCUAAUGGUGCAGCCGCUAUUAAGGGUUCGUUUGUUCAACGAUUAAAGUCCUACGUG